UACGGAGGGAGCUAGCGUUGUUCGGAAUUACUGGGCGUAAAGCGCACGUAGGCGGCUCAGCAAGUCAGGGGUGAAAUCCCGGGGCUCAACCCCGGAACUGCCCUUGAAACUGCUAAGCUAGAAUCUUGGAGAGGCGAGUGGAAUUCCGAGUGUAGAGGUGAAAUUCGUAGAUAUUCGGAAGAACACCAGUGGCGAAGGCGACUCGCUGGACAAGUAUUGACGCUGAGGCACGAAAGCGUGGGGAGCAAACAGG
rnacentral:rRNA from 1 species